AAAAUUUGUGUUUUGGCAUGACAUCCCUAACAAAUCUUACUAGGAGGGCUCACUAACAGUGCUGGGCUAGUUUGUAAUAAAACAGGAAGCUAUAAGAGACAAACGACAGUGCUCUGUAACAUGGUAUCAAGGCAACUCCUCCAUGUUCUUGACAAAGUGCUGCUAGGCCCUUACAACUCCUGGGGCUAAAGACCUAACAAUGACUGGAAAACUACCAUGGACCUUGAGUUAGACACCAUCCCUUUUGAAAAUGGCCAUGAAGCAGCAGACUCAGCUUCUCUUGCAGGGCCAACCAAGACAUAAUCCAACACUAUGAAAUCAGGCAAGCCUAAAUUUAGCGAUAGAAAAGCUCUGAGGAAAGCUGUUGAUUUCAA